rnacentral:tRNA from 1 species
CCCUCCUUAGCUCAGCGGCUAGAGCGUUCGGCUGUAGAUGCUUAUCUGACAUGGUGCUAACCAAAGGAUGAAAAUAAGCCAGCCGUGACCGAAAGGUCCCCGGUUCGAAUCUGGGAGGAGGGA